rnacentral:rRNA from 1 species
AGUGAACGCUGGCGGCAUGCCUAACACAUGCAAGUCGAACGACAGCACAGUAAGAGCUUGCUCUUACGGGUGGCGAGUGUCGGACGGGUGAGGAAUACAUCGGAUUCUACUUUGACGUGGGUGAUAACGUCGGGAAACUUCCGCUAAUACCGCAUACGUCCUACGGGUGAAAGCAGGCGUUCUACGGACCUUGCGCGAUUGAAUGAGCCUAGGUCGGAUUAGCUCGUUGGCUGGGUAAAGGCCCACCAAGGCGACGCUCCGUAGCUGGUCUGAGAGGAUGAUCAGCCACACUGGAACUGAGACACGGUCCAGACUCCUACGGGAGGCAGCAGUGGGGAAUAUUGGACAAUGGGCGCAAGCCGGAUCCAGCCAUACCGCGUGGGUGAAGAAGGCCUUCGGGUUGUAAAGCCCUUUUGUUGGGAAAGAAAAACAGCAGGUUAAUACCCCGCUGUUCUGACGGUACCCAAAGAAUAAGCACCGGCUAACUUCGUG